rnacentral:rRNA from 1 species
UACGGAGGGUGCGAGCGUUAAUCGGGUUUACUGGGCGUAAAGCGCACGUAGGCGGUCGGAUACGUCGGAUGUGAAAGCCCUGGGCUUAACCUGGGAACUGCAUUCGAUACUGUCUGGCUAGAGUAUGGGAGAGGGAAGCAGAAUUUCCGGUGUAACGGUGAAAUGCGUAGAUAUCGGAAGGAAUACCCAUGGCGAAGGCAGCUUCCUGGCCCAAUACUGACGCUCAGGUGCGAAAGCGUGGGGAUCAAACACG